AUGAGCGGUUCGAAGCGGAGGACGAGUUUGGACUCGGGUUCGGGUUCGAAGUGAGUUGGUGAGUCGGGGAAGAGGAGGGAGAUGAUCGAGUCGCCGGGUCGUGGGGGACGAAGAGCCAGGAGCCACCUUUGGAUUUUUUGUUGGGUUGGGUUUGGUGUAUGGGUUGGGAGAUUGUAGGCGUCGCCGCUUUUUUCUGGGUUUCUGUAGGGGUGGGUGGUCGGUAGUGGAGGUGGAGAUUGGUGUGGCCGUGUUUGUGUUUCGGAGAUGGAGUUGUCUCGGUGAGUUUGGUUUCGUGUUUGUGGUUUUUUUUUUCUUUUUUUGAUGUGAAUUUGUAUAUUUAUUUCUUGGAUUUCUUGGGUUUGAUUUACUAGAGGUUUAUGGAUUUGAUUUCUUGGAUUUAUUGGGUUUGAUUUACUGGAUGUUUAUGGGUUUGAUUUCGUAGAUUUAUUGGUGCGGAGGACGAGUUUGGACUCGGGUUCGGGUUCGAAGUGAGUUGGUGAGUCGGGGAAGAGGAGGGAGAUGAUCGAGUCGCCGGGUCGUGGGGGACGAAGAGCCAGGAGCCACCUUUGGAUUUUUUGUUGGGUUGGGUUUGGUGUAUGGGUUGGGAGAUUGUAGGCGUCGCCGCUUUUUUCUGGGUUUCUGUAGGGGUGGGUGGUCGGUAGUGGAGGUGGAGAUUGGUGUGGCCGUGUUUGUGUUUCGGAGAUGGAGUUGUCUCGGUGAGUUUGGUUUCGUGUUUGUGGUUUUUUUUUUCUUUUUUUGAUGUGAAUUUGUAUAUUUAUUUCUUGGAUUUCUUGGGUUUGAUUUACUAGAGGUUUAUGGAUUUGAUUUCUUGGAUUUAUUGGGUUUGAUUUACUGGAUGUUUAUGGGUUUGAUUUCGUAGAUUUAUUGGGUGGUUUAUGAGUUUGAUUUCUUGGAUUUAUUGGGUUUGAUUUGGGGAAGAACAUGAAGCAUGAUGUUCAUGUCCUGGGGAAGAAGAAGAACAAUGUUCUUCCGAAAAAUAAUGAAAAGCAAACCCAAUUUUCAAACUCAAUUUUUUAAACUGAAAAAGCUUUUUUUUUUUUCUUAAUUUAAUUAAAUUAAUGUUUAUUUAUUUAUUUAUUUUAAAAUUUCUGACGUGGAUUUUUGUUUUAAUUUUUUAUUAAUUUAAAUCUGAUGUGGCAUUUCAAAAAUGCUAAAUAAGCUUUUUUAAUAAUAUUUUAAUAUCCACAUCAGCGCCAUGUCAGCAAGUAGGACACGCCGUUUGCCACCUCAGCAUUUUCUGUCACUGAGUUGACGGUAGGGACUAUUUUAAAAACGAUUUUUAAAAAUCAGGGACUGACCUAGGAGCUAAAUCAAUUUAGGGACCAAAUUGAGAAUAGGCCCAAAAUGUAGGGACCAAAAGUGCAUUUUCGCCUUAAAUAUAUAUGUGUGAAACUCCCUUUUGAAAACUUAAAAUUUGACCCUUGCACCUUGCUCACCUUACAAGAACUUGUACUUGUAGAGUGACCAUCACACUAAGGAUGCGCGAUAAUGGUGAAUUUUCUUUUGUUAACAAAGACAAAGGUUGUAAUGUUCUUGCUCACUGUAUAGCUUAGUGGGCUUUUUUUCGUAAUUAGAUUAGACUUUCAUUUUUAGUAUUUCAAUCUUGGUGGUCCAAGGUAUAGAGAGAGAUCGGUCAAGGCCCGUUACUUGUUAGUUUUUUUGGUCAAGCCUAAAUUAAAUAAUUUGUUAUUGAGAGAGAGAGAGAGAGAGAGAGAGAGAGAGAGAGAGAGAGAGAGAUUUUGUCUAGUUAAAAAUUUUCACUAACACUGUGUUUGGUUGGGUGGAUUUUAGAGAGGAUGAAAAAAAAAAAGAGUGGAAAAUAGGAGAGAAAAUUAAUGGAAAGGGUGUUUGGUUGAGAAGGGGAGGGGAAGAGAAAAGUGGUGGGGCCCAGCUGUUUUCUCUCUAGGCCCACCACAAUUCAAUCUCUCCAAAAUGGAGAGAAAAUGGGAGAGAAAAGGAGGAAGAAUGAGUUGGACAAAAUUGCCCUUCUCCAUCCAAUGACCAACUUUUUGUCUUUUUCAUUUUUUUUUUUUUUUUUUUUUUGGUGCCUGGAUAAAAUUUCUUUUGGUUUGUAGAGUACGUUCACGUUGGUUUGGUUUUGGUUUUUUUUUUUUUUUGGAUAAAAUUUUGUACAGUAGACGUUGGUUCUCUUUGUUUGUUUUUAUCUUCUUUUUUUUUUUUUUAAUAUCCUUUUAGCAUUUGCUUAUUUUAUAAAUAAAUUAAAAAAUUAAAGUAUCCAGACAAAUUUUUUUUAAUAAUAAAUGUGUUACUUUUUGUUUAUAUAUUUGUAAGGACAUAAUGUUAAAUUUAUAUCUACUUUAUUUUUCAUCCUCUCAUUUUUUAUCUCAACUAAACAAAAAAGUUUUCAAUCCCCCUUACUUUUCCACCCCUCCAACCAAACACAAAUGAGGGAAAACUAAAAUUUUUCUAUCCUCCCACUUUUCCAUCAUCCCACAAUUUUUUAUCCUUCCACUUUUCUAUCCUCUCAUCCAAACAGACCCUAAGGUUCAAGGCCAUGUAUUGCUUCUUGAGAUGAUAUCAAGGAUGCUAUCUAAUUUUGUUUUAAAUGGUUUUGGGCAUAUUGUAUAGGAAUACCUUAAUAAAGAGGACUUCGUAAAGGUAUAAUCAAAUAGUUUUUAUUUGAUGAUCAUGAUAAUACAUGGAACAUGAAAAUAAGUUAUUUGAAGCUAAUUUACUUUUAAACUAAUUAUUUUAUACAAAUAACGAUUUUAAAUUUUCUAAAAAAAUAUAUAACAAUCAAACUAAUACGUGACAAUGAACACUAGGGGUGUAUGCAAGUCGUCAGGUUUAAGUUUAGUGUAAAUUCAUCGUCUAGCCCAAUCGCAUCAAGUUUGAGAAAGCUCAAAUCGCUGCCAACUGUUGACCCAUGAAUUGUCAACCUAUCUAGUGAGCUAAAAUCAACAAUAAGAUUGAUCACACUAAGUUGGUCAGGUUUAAGUUUAGUGAAAAACUCAUCAUCUAAACCCAGUUGCAUCAAGCCGACCGUUAACGCAUGAAUUGUCGACCUAUCUGGUGAGCUAAAAUAAAAAAUGAGAUUGGUCACACUAGCAAUUUUGCUAAUUUGGGAUUUGAAGGGGCUUGGGGUGUCACAAUCUGGUGGAAAUUUGAUGAAGAUCUCAAGAUAUUCGCUAUAUAUGACACAGAUCUCGAGCCUAAAAACUCAAGAUCGACGAGAUCUUUAUCAAAGAGGAGCGACAUCAUUCUAGCAAAUGCUAAUUAGGGGGGAAAGAGACUAACAAAUUUUUUUGAUAGGAUACGGUAUGUCAGAUUCUCAUGUGGGAAACUUGACACUAAACUCGAUAAAUUUAGAUUUUGUUGGUUUUAACCUGUCAGUCAACCAUCACAAAAUGUUGAAAUUGACCGAAACUAAUCGGGUCGGGUAGGUAGUUGGGUCCUUUGAUUGUUUGGCCACACCCUAGACCCCAAUAAUAUAUACCGCAGAAGAAGUUCAAUAAAAAUGGGAAAAAAAAAUUGGAAGAGAGAGGGAAAAAAAAAAAAAAAACUUAGGGAUAAAAUAUGAUUGAAGGAUAAGAAAAAUGGGUUUUUAACUGUAUAUAUAUAAAAACCACACACACCAGAAGCCAGCUUUGUCUCAAGCAUUCCAUGCUGUUACUGUUACGAUGUGAGCAAAGGAAGGCCUCGGACCUCUUUAUCCGUAGAUAGCCAUAGCCCCAUUCCUUCAUCUCCGAUUUCUGUAUCUUCUUCUUCUUUUAUCAUUGCAAAACCAAAACCCCUCGCAUUUUCUCAACGAAACCCUCGUUUGUUCAAAAAAUACCCACGACUCUCCUGUGAAUCCCCUAGAAAAUCCCAUCAUUUUGCAGAGAAAAUCCCCAAUUAGAGUCUUCAGGUAAGAUUUUCAUUUCAUGGGCUCUCUUUCUCAUUUUCUUGUUUGUCUCUUAUCUUUCGUUUAAGGUGUUCCUGGUAUUGUAUGCUUGUAUUGCUUGGAUUUUAGGGAUUUUUCUUAGCUAUUCAAGAUAUGGGUUUUUUCUUGUUUUGAUUUGGGGUUUGUGUUAUUGGGGAUCUUUUUGCAGAUUUACGGUUUUUGGUCUUGUUGGGUCCUUAUUAUUUGCUCCAAAUUUUGUUGUAUCUGCAAAAGAAUAUGUCGAUUUUGCCCAAAAGUGAUUCGAUUCACAUCCGGGACGUUUGGAACGAUAAUCUUGAUCAUGAAUUUGCUUUGAUUCGUGGAAUCGUAGACGAUUACCCUUACAUUGCAAUGGAUACUGAGUUUCCGGGUAUUGUUCUUCGACCGAUAGGGAAUUUCAAGAACAGCUUUGACUAUAAUUACCAGACCCUUAAGGCCAAUGUGGAUCUACUGAAGUUAAUUCAGUUGGGUCUUACUUUAUCUGAUGAGAAAGGGAACCUUCCUACUUGUGGGACUGAUAAGUAUUGUGUGUGGCAAUUCAAUUUCCGGGAGUUUAAUCCCAAUGAGGAUGUGUAUGCCAAUGACUCUGUUGAGCUGUUAUCCCAGAGUGGUAUUGAUUUCAUGAAGAACAAUGAGAAGGGUGUUGAUGCUCGUCGGUUUAGUGAGUUGUUGAUGUCGUCGGGGAUUGUGUUAAAUGAUACCGUGCAUUGGGUUACUUUCCAUAGUGGGUAUGAUUUCGGGUACUUGCUCAAGUUGCUUACUUGCCAAAAUCUUCCCGAUACCCAGGUGGGGUUCUUUAAUCUGAUCAAGAUUUAUUUCCCUACACUUUAUGACAUCAAGCAUCUGAUGAAGUUCUGCAACAGUCUUCACGGUGGGUUGAACAAGCUUGCAGAGCUCUUGGAAGUGGAAAGAAUCGGUAUAUGUCACCAAGCUGGUUCAGAUAGUUUGCUUACUUGCUGUACAUUCAUGAAACUGAAAGAGAGUUUCUUUAAUGACUCAACCGAGAAAUAUGCUGGUGUUUUGUAUGGUCUCGGUGUUGAGAAUGGACAGAAUACUCCUUGAAAAAAGAGAAAAAAAAAAAAAUAUAUAUAUAUAUAUAUAUUAUGAAAUGAUAAUAAAAAUAAAAUGUAUUUGUUAGAGUACAUGUUUGUGCCAGUUUCCACUUUCCAUCUACAUUUCCUUUACAGCAAUUCUUUUGCAUUUUGUUCACAGUUUUCACAGUGAAAGUCCUUACCAUAAUUCAUGACAAAAGAUGAACUUUAUUUAAGAACUUGCAUUUCCUGCAAACCAGUAGCAUCAUUGCAAAGUCAGAAAAAAUAAAAAUAAAAUGCAAAUGUCUCUCUUUGUUAAUAUAUUGUUCUUUUGGCUUUUGGAUCAUACAAGGGUGAGGGACGAAAAAAUGCCUAAAAUCCACAAAAAUUGCAUAAGAAAGGAAGCCAUUUUAUGUUUCUUCAUUUCUUUCUCGUCAUACUUCCCAAGUAACAAAGGAUCCUUGAUGGCUUGGUCAUAAUAUUGGGGUGUUCUAAAUUUACAGUGGCUAG
rnacentral:sRNA from 1 species